rnacentral:rRNA from 1 species
GGGGAAUUUUCCGCAAUGGGCGAAAGCCUGACGGAGCAAUACCGCGUGAGGGAAGAAGGCUCUUGGGUCGUAAACCUCUUUUAUCAGGGAAGAACAAAAUGACGGUACCUGAAGAAUCAGCCUCGGCUAACUCCGUGCCAGCAGCCGCGGUAAUACGGAGGAGGCAAGCGUUAUCCGGAAUUAUUGGGCGUAAAGCGUCCGCAGGUGGCUCGUCAAGUCUGCUGUCAAAGACCGGGGCUUAACCCUGGAAAGGCAGUGGAAACUGAUAUAGCUAGAGUGCCGUAGGGGUAGAGGGAAUUCCCGGUGUAGCGGUGAAAUGCGUAGAGAUCGGGAAGAACAUCGGUGGCGAAAGCGCUCUACUGGACGGCAACUGACACUCAGGGACGAAAGCUAGGGGAGCGAAAGGGAUUAGAUACCCCU